rnacentral:piRNA from 1 species
UUCCUAUUCGCACAAAAUCUGCCAGGA